rnacentral:rRNA from 1 species
AACGAACGCUGGCGGCAUGCCUAACACAUGCAAGUCGAACGAAGUCUUCGGACUUAGUGGCGCACGGGUGCGUAACGCGUGGGAAUCUGCCCUUGGGUUCGGAAUAACAGUUAGAAAUGACUGCUAAUACCGAAUGAUGUCUUCGGACCAAAGAUUUAUCGCCCAAGGAUGAGCCCGCGUCGGAUUAGCUAGUUGGUGAGGUAAAGGCUCACCAAGGCGACGAUCCGUAGCUGGUCUGAGAGGAUGAUCAGCCACACUGGAACUGAGACACGGUCCAGACUCCUACGGGAGGCAGCAGUAGGGAAUAUUGCGCAAUGGACGAAAGUCUGACGCAGCGACGCCGCGUAGGGUGAUGAAGGAUUUCGGUUCG